UGGGGAAUAUUGCACAAUGGGCGAAAGCCUGAUGCAGCAACGCCGCGUGAGUGAUGAAGGCCUUCGGGUUGUAAAGCUCUGUCUUUUGGGACGAUAAUGACGGUACCAAAGGAGGAAGCCACGGCUAACUACGUGCCAGCAGCCGCGGUAAUACGUAGGUGGCAAGCGUUGUCCGGAUUUACUGGGCGUAAAGGAUGCGUAGGCGGAUUUUUAAGUGAGAUGUGAAAUACCCGGGCUUAACUUGGGUGCUGCAUUUCAAACUGGGAAUCUAGAGUGCGGGAGAGGAGAAUGGAAUUCCUAGUGUAGCGGUGAAAUGCGUAGAGAUUAGGAAGAACACCAGUGGCGAAGGCGAUUCUCUGGACCGUAACUGACGCUGAGGCAUGAAAGCGUGGGUAGCAAACAGGAUUAGAUACCCUGGUAGUCCACGCCGUAAACGAUGAGUACUAGGUGUAGGAGGUAUCGACCCCUUCUGUGCCGCAGUUAACACAAUCAAGUACUCCGCCUGGGAAGUACGAUCGCAAGAUUAAACUCAAUG
rnacentral:rRNA from 1 species